rnacentral:misc_RNA from 1 species
GGAAGGAUCAUUAAAAAUGUUUCCACACACACCCCAACCACUUGUGAACCGUUACCCCCACCUGGCGAUGUUCCCGGGACUUAUGCGCGCGUGUGCGCCUUGACACGUUGACGAUCACGAGAGACUCUGGACCGUCACCGGUCUGGUUUCGAUCGCGUCGCCUGCUGUCAAGUCGUGCCGCCGCACCCGGGGCUCGCCACCUGACCACACCAUGACCAACUAAAUUUUACUGAGACUUUAAACGAAAUAAUUUAAAGACAACUUUUAGCAACGGAUCUCUUGGCUCUCGCAACGAUGAAGAACGCAGCGAAAUGCGAUAAGUAAUGUGAAUUGCAGAAACCGUGAAUCAUCAAAUCUUUGAACGCACCUUGCACUGUCUGGAAUUCCGGGCAGUAUGCCUGUUUGAGUAUCAGUUCCACCUCAGCCAACGUCUUCUUUUGAAGGCCGGCUGGACUUGAGCCCUGGCGCGUCGGCACCGACUUCUUUCAUUAGAGGGUCGGUGCCGAUUGCGCGCCGGGCUUGGAAUGUAAAAAGUGCACGCGUUUGCGCUGACAGAACUAGUCUCUGGGCAACCUGGGGUAUAACUGUCUGGCAACGACGCGUCGCGCUCGCAAAAUCACGACGCAAAUGUCGCGGUAUGGUGACGUGUGUUUCGACAUGCGCUACCGUGCCGUGGUCUUUGAUCUUGAUCUCAAAUCAGGCAAGAAUACCCGCUGAACUUAAGCAUAUUAAUAAGCGGAGGAAAAGAAACUAACAAGGAUUCCCCUAGUAACGGCGAGUGAAGCGGGAACAGCUCAAAUUUAAAAUCUCCUCGGAGAAUUGUAGUUUAAAGAAGUGUUUUCGAGAGUACCCUAGGUAAAAGUCCCUUGGAACAGGGCGUCAUAGAGGGUGAGAAUCCCGUACAUGAUCUAGGUAGUGCUCCGCUACGAUACACUUUCAAAGAGUCGGGUUGUUUGGGAAUGCAGCCCAAAGUGGGUGGUAUAUUCCAUCUAAAGCUAAAUAUUGGCGAGAGACCGAUAGCGAACAAGUACCGUGAGGGAAAGAUGAAAAGAACUUUGAAAAGAGAGUUAAACAGUACGUGAAAUUGCUAAAAGGGAAACGAUUGAAAUCAGUGUUGUGCCGGGGAAAUCAGCCGCUCGCAUUCGGGCAGUGCACUUUUCCCGGCGCAAGUCAACAUCAGUUUGGAGUCGCGGAAAAAGCCACAGGAAGGUGGCCGGCCUCUCGGGGUCGGUGUUAAGCCUGUGGGUCUACGCGGGUCUGGACUGAGGCCAGCAGCACUUUUUUGGCGCUCCUCGCGUUCUCUGGCCGUCGUCUCUUGGACUGCAUGCAGACCUGGGGGCGGCGUCUAGUCUACGCGGGGCAGUGCACACCAGUGCUUAGGAUGUUGACGAAAUGGUUUUAAACGACCCGUCUUGAAACACGGACCAAGGAGUCUAACAUAUAUGCGAGUGUUUGGGUGUUAAACUCAUACGCAAAAUGAAAGUGAACGCAGGUGGGAUCCGCAAGGAGCACCAUCGACCGAUCUGGAUAUUUAUUGAUAGAUUUGAGUAAGAGCAUAUCUGUUGGGACCCGAAAGAUGGUGAACUAUGCCUGAAUAGGGUGAAGCCAGAGGAAACUCUGGUGGAGGCUCGUAGCGAUUCUGACGUGCAAAUCGAUCGUCAAAUUUGGGCAUAGGGGCGAAAGACUAAUCGAACCAUCUAGUAGCUGGUUCCCUC